rnacentral:lncRNA from 1 species
UGGGGGGUUGUGUUGACACCGAAUUAUCAGACUUCCAUAGUUAGUUUCAGAACAUGAAGCCUUCGUACUCUAAAACUGGGGGGUCUGUGUUGACAUCGAAUUUUGGAAAUAUGCUCUGAAAGGAAGGAAUCGGCCGAUGAUGCAAACAUGAUGAAAUCUUCUAAAUAAGGCUAUUUGCGAGCUGGCCGCAGAAAUCAGGAAUGCGUGUGCAUGAAGAAAAAGAAAGCAAGAAAGCUAGAAGCAUUAGGGGUAGGAGUAAUAUAGCUUCUCGACGAGUUCCUUCUAGCAAGCUGGGCUGCAUCGACCUCGAUCUCCGGC